GAGAGUGGGAGAGGUCAGCGGUAUUCUGGGGGUAGGGGCGAAAUCCUUUGAUCCCCGGAGGACCACCAGUGGCGAAGGCUGCUGACUAGAACACGUCUGACGGUCAGGGACGAAAGCUGGGGUAGCGAACCGGAUUAGAUACCCGGGUAGUCCCAGCCGUAAACGAUGCAUGCUAGGUGUUGGGUUGGCCACGAGCCACCCCAGUGCCGCAGGGAAGCCGUUAAGCAUGCCGCCUGGGAAGUACGAUCGCAAGGUUGAAACUUAAAGGAAUUGGCGGGGGAGCACCACCAGGCGUGAAGCCCGCGGUUUAAUUGGAGUCAACGCCGGGAACCUUACCGGGAGCGACAGCAGAGUGAAGGUCAGAUUGAAGAUCUUACCAGACGAGCUGAGAGGAGGUGCAUGGCCGUCGCCAGUUCGUGCCGUGAGGUGUUAUGUUAAGUCAUAUAACGAACGAGACCCGUGCCGCAUGUUGCCACCAGAAUCUAAAGGAUUGCUGAGCACUCUUGCGGGACCGCAGCCGAUAAGGCUGAGGAAGG
rnacentral:rRNA from 1 species